rnacentral:lncRNA from 1 species
CCAAUGUUUAUAAUUUCAUUUCAUAUGAAUGAAAACCGUUUCUCCAUACAUGCAUCAGUGCUCGUUUUAUAAUUUUUUUCCCUCUUUUUUCUCACAUCUUUCUUCUUUUUUCCUCGUUUUCCCCAUCUUAUCCAUUAUUCUUCCAUCUUCCUUAUCCGUUCCUCCUAUCUUCUCUGGCUCUCUGCUACCCACGCGGCCAUGCUCCUGGUGCAAGCUGCUUGCUUCUUCCCUGCAGCACUGCCUGGCGGAGCACGAGGUCACCGCGGUGGGCCUCCGCAACAAGCUGGGCCCACUCAACGACGGCCCUGGUCUCUUCUACAACCUGCACCAAGCUGAGGACCUCCGCUUGCGCC